AACGAACGCUGGCGGCAUGCCUAACACAUGCAAGUCGAACGAAGCCUUCGGGCUUAGUGGCGCACGGGUGCGUAACGCGUGGGAAUCUACCCUUGGGUUCGGAAUAACAGUUAGAAAUGACUGCUAAUACCGAAUGAUGUCUUCGGACCAAAGAUUUAUCGCCCAAGGAUGAGCCCGCGUCGGAUUAGCUAGUUGGUGAGGUAAAGGCUCACCAAGGCGACGAUCCGUAGCUGGUCUGAGAGGAUGAUCAGCCACACUGGGACUGAGACACGGCCCAGACUCCUACGGGAGGCAGCAGUGGGGAAUAUUGGACAAUGGCGAAAGCCUGAUCCAGCAAUGCCGAGUGAGUGAUGAAGGCCUUAGGGUUGUAAAGCUCUUUUACCCGGGAUGAUAAUGACAGCACCGGGAGAAUAAGCCCCGGGCUAACUCCGUGCCAGCAGCCGCGGUAAU
rnacentral:rRNA from 1 species